rnacentral:rRNA from 1 species
CCCGCUGAACUUAAGCAUAUCAAUAAGCGGAGGAAAAGAAACUAACAAGGAUUCCCCCAGUAACGGCGAGUGAAGAGGGAAGAGCUCAGUGUUAAAACCUGGUGGAGAAAUUCAUCCGGAUUGUAAACUAAGGGCAUAAUUCCAGUGGAACAGCUGCGGUCCAAGUGCUUUGGAAAAGGCCAUCAGAGAGGGUGAAAAUCCCGUCCUGGCUGCGGUUUGUUUUGCAACGAUGAAUGUGUCCCGAGAGUCAGGUUGUUUGGGAAUGCAGCCUAAAUAGGGUGGUAAAUCACAUCCAAAGCUAAAUAUUGGCGAGAGACCGAUAGCGAACAAGUACCGUGAGGGAAAGAUGAAAAGCACUUUGAAAAGAGAGUGAAACAGUACGUGAAAUUGCUGAAAGGGAAGCGUUUACAGCCAGGUAGUAACAGAGCGUGGUUUUGCUGGUGUGAUAAACCACGGAUGAGAUGGUUUCGGCUAUUUUUUCCGUGGGAUAACAGCGGCGAGACUCGGUCUGGUGUGAUGGCUGUCAACGACCCGUCUUGAAACACGG